rnacentral:rRNA from 1 species
ACGAACGCUGGCGGCAGGCCUAAAACAUGCAAGUCGAACGCUCUAGCAAUAGAGAGUGGCGCACGGGUGCGUAACACGUGGGAAUAUGCCUUUUGGUACGGAACAACGUCUGGAAACGGACGCUAAUACCGUAUGGUCCCUUCGGGGUAAAGAUUUAUCGCCUUUAGAGCGGCCCGCGUCUGAUUAGCUUGUUGGUGGGGUAAUGGCCCACCAAGGCUACGAUCAGUAGCUGGUCUGAGAGGAUGACCAGCCACAUUGGGACUGAGACACGGCCCAAACUCCUACGGGAGGCAGCAGUGGGGAAUCUUGCGCAAUGGGCGAAAGCCUGACGCAGCCAUGCCGCGUGUAUGAUGAAGGUCUUAGGAUUGUAAAAUACUUUCACCGGUGAAGAUAAUGACUGUAGCCGGAGAAGAAGCCCCGGCUAACUUCGU